rnacentral:rRNA from 1 species
AAAGUUGUUGCAGUUAAAAAGCUCGUAGUUGAACCUUGGGCCUGGCUGGCCGGUCCGUCUCACCGCGUGUACUGGUCCGGCCGGGCCUUUCCUUCUGGGGAACCUCAUGCCCUUCACUGGGCGUGUUGGGGAACCAGGACUUUUACUUUGAAAAAAUUAGAGUGUUCAAAGCAGGCCUUUGCUCGAAUACAUUAGCAUGGAAUAAUAGAAUAGGACGUGUGGUUCUAUUUUGUUGGUUUCUAGGACCGCCGUAAUGAUUAAUAGGGAUAGUCGGGGGCAUCAGUAUUCAAUCGUCAGAGGUGAAAUUCUUGGAUUGAUUGAAGACUAACUACUGCGAAAGCAUUUGCCAAGGAUGUUUCCAUUAAUCAGUGAACGAAAGUUAGGGGAUCGAAGACGAUCAGAUACCGUCGUAGUCUUAACCAUAAACUAUGCCGACUAGGGAUCGGACGGUG